rnacentral:rRNA from 1 species
AUUGAACGCUGGCGGCAGGCCUAACACAUGCAAGUCGAACGGUAGCACAGAGAGCUUGCUCUCGGGUGACGAGUGGCGGACGGGUGAGUAAUGUCUGGGAAACUGCCCGAUGGAGGGGGAUAACUACUGGAAACGGUAGCUAAUACCGCAUAACGUCUUCGGACCAAAGUGGGGGACCUUCGGGCCUCACACCAUCGGAUGUGCCCAGAUGGGAUUAGCUAGUAGGUGGGGUAAUGGCUCACCUAGGCGACGAUCCCUAGCUGGUCUGAGAGGAUGACCAGCCACACUGGAACUGAGACCCGGUCCAGACUCCUACGGGAGGCAGCAGUGGGGAAUAUUGCACGAUGGGCGCAAGCCUGAUGCAGCCAUGCCGCGUGUAUGAAGAAGGCCUUCGGGUUGUAAAGUACUUUCAGCGGGGAGGAAGGCGAUGAGGUUAAUAACCGCAUCGAUUGACGUUACCCGCAGAAGAAGCACCGGCUAACUCCGUG